rnacentral:rRNA from 1 species
UACGGGGGGAGCAAGCGUUGCUCGGAUUUACUGGGCGUAAAGGGCGCGUAGGCGGCCACCGCAAGUCGGUUGUGAAAUCUCUGGGCUUAACCCAGAAAGGUCAACCGAUACUGCGGGGCUAGAGUGCAGAAGGGGCAACUGGAAUUCUCGGUGUAGCGGUGAAAUGCGUAGAUAUCGAGAGGAACACCUGCGGCGAAGGCGGGUUGCUGGGCUGACACUGACGCUGAAGCGCGAAAGCUAGGGGAGCGAACGGG